UAGGGAAUCUUCCACAAUGGACGAAAGUCUGAUGGAGCAACGCCGCGUGAGUGAAGAAGGGUUUCGGCUCGUAAACUCUGUUGUUAAAGAAGAACAUAUCUGAGAGUAACUGUACAGGUAUUGACGGUAUUUAACCAGAAAGCCACGGCUAACUACGUGCCAG
rnacentral:rRNA from 1 species